rnacentral:rRNA from 1 species
GACGAACGCUGGCGGCGUGCUUAACACAUGCAAGUCGAACGGAAAGGCCCUGCUUUUGUGGGGUGCUCGAGUGGCGAACGGGUGAGUAACACGUGAGUAACCUGCCCUUGACUUUGGGAUAACUUCAGGAAACUGGGGCUAUAACCGGAUAGAAGAUCUUGCUCCACGGGGGGGUUUGGAAAGUUUCGGCGGUGGUGGAUGGAAUGGCGGCUAAUCGGCUGGUUGGUGGGGUGGGGGCUUACCAGGCUUUUGCCGGGUAGCCGGCCUGGGAGGGUGACCGGCCACAUUGGGACUGAGAUACGGCCCAGACUCCUACGGGAGGCAGCAGUGGGGAAUAUUGCACAAUGGGCGGAAGCCUGAUGCAGCAACGCCGCGUGCGGGAUGACGGCCUUCGGGUUGUAAACCGCUUUCGCCUGUGACGAAGCGUGAGUGACGGUAAUGGGUAAAGAAGCACCGGCUAACUACGCG